GGAGCUGGGUUCAGAACGUCGUGAGACAGUUCGGUCCCUAUCUGCCAUGGGCGUUGGAGAUUUGAGAGGGGCUGCUCCUAGUACGAGAGGACCGGAGUGGACGAACCUCUGGUGUUCCGGUUGUCACGCCAGUGGCAUUGCCGGGUAGCUAUGUUCGGAAGCGAUAACCGCUGAAAGCAUCUAAGCGGGAAGCGCGCCUCAAGAUGAGAUCUCCCGGGGCACAAGCCCCCUGAAGGAACCAUGUAGACUACGUGGUUGAUAGGUCAGGUGUGUAAGUACAGCAAUGUAUUGAGCUAACUGAUACUAAUGAUCCGUGCGGCUUGACCAU
rnacentral:rRNA from 1 species